rnacentral:lncRNA from 1 species
UAAUCGAGAUGGUUAGAAGCUGGUUGGGAAUCCAGGAUUGGAGGACCACCUGUCGGACGCAUGAGAGUCGGAAUGAAGAUCUUGAGAACGGGUAGCAAGAGAUGUUUUCGUAUUGGUAGCCAGUGUCUGAGGCGGCAUGCAGGUUGCGUAGAUUCAGGAGUUGGGAGGUUGGAAACUUCCCAACAAUAGCUUCUUGUAUCCGGAUUAGUAAACGGUUGGUUUGGGAACCAAGCCGAAGGAUUCCUCGACGAAGCGCUAAGUAUAUCAAGGAUAUAAGAUGUAGAGGAUGAUGCAGAAUUCAAAGUCUAAGGACUGUCUUUUUAGAAAUCGGGAUGAGGAAUCACUAGCGGGACUAGGGAUAGUCAGGAUGUUCUCGAGAUAGUGGUAGUGUUGUAAGUCUGCGGGGGUAGCCGUAGCAUUCACUAGCAGUCAGAUAGCAGUAGUAGUGUUGUAAGUCUGCGGGGGUAGCCGUAGCAUUCACUAGCAGUCAGAAAGUAGUAGAGUGUUGUAAGUCUGCGGGGGUAGCUGUAGCAUUCACUAGCAGUCAGAUAGUAGUAGUGGUGUUGUAAGUC